CACAGAGGAUGGUGGUCGCUACCCGUGCGGUCUUACAGUAGGUUUUUACCACCAGUAAAUACCGGCCGGCGGUCGAAGUGUACUCGUGCAGUACUCAGAGAGCCCUGCUGUGCGUUCUGCGGUGACAUUAUUGGUCACUAGUUAUACUACCUACGAGAAGAGUUCGAGUGAUGCUAUUCCAGGAUCUUAUUUUUAAUUUGGCACAUUGAGAUCAAUAUCAAAACGUAUAAGUAAGGGACAAACGCUCCAAGAAUAGUAAGGACCACCACUAACCGACGGAAAAUAGGGUCCGAGACGAGCGGAAACUACAUCCAUUAUUACUCGCUGCCAAGUCGAAUGAAACGAAUCGAAAUAGGGAAUUACAUCUUUAUAUUCACGCACAGAGACAUUCGCGAAUCUAAACCUUCCUUUAUUAAAGUAUAAAAUACGAGAACGAUUUACCAUGGCGCCAGAAAACAGAGAGAGCCGGAUCGUACGCAGCAGACACCAGCUGGAGUCGAGCAGCUACGGACUCUAUAGACAUACUUCUUUUUCCGAUUGUGACUUACAAUGACUUUGCAGCGGUAACCUAUCCGUACUUACUACCCACUCGCACUUCGCUUUGCUACCAGUGAAGGUGUCAGGAUUUUAAAUGAGCAAACUAAACCACUAGAAGUAGAAUUUGGUGUUCUUAGAUAUAACUUAGCAAGUUAAAUCGAAUUGAGCUUUGUAAAAGCGAAACUGUAUUUAGAUUAAAGCUUGUAACACUUAUAUGAUCUCAUUAUAAGCCCCUUCGUGUUAUUAUUAUGUUUAGCUUCUAAGGAGCUUUGGAAACCCUUUAUGUUUACAAGUGUGUCAUAUAUAUAUAUAUUAUAAAUAUAGUGUUUAUUAGUAGUGUUAUGUAUGAUAUCAUUGUUUGCUACUAGUAUUAAGGGGUAGUAUGAUCUCUAGCUCCACGUGGUCGCAUCACCCAAUGUCCAUUUUCCAAAGUCUUUGGUGACCGAUCAAUACUAGAUGAGCUUUAAAAAUAUGUAAUGAAUCCACAAUUUAAGUACGAGUCCAUUAUUAAUGAAUUAACCUCGUCAUGUCACGUUUAUAUUCCAUGUUUGUCUAACAAAUAGAGUCGGUACACAUGUAGAGCACAGCGCGGCGAUCAGCCCCGAUCCUAUCGCCUAACUAUUGUCAUUAUAAGUACAAAACUAUUAAAUAAUGCUUUGUCUUUGUUCCUGAUCACUUAUCAAUUUACUUUCAGUUUAACAUUUACAAAGUCUUUUGAGUGUAAUUAUUUGUCAAUAAACUUAUUACACCCAAGUA